rnacentral:rRNA from 1 species
GACGAACGCUGGCGGCGUGCUUAACACAUGCAAGUCGAACGAGCGGCGGACGGGUGAGUAAUGUCUGGGAAACUGCCCGAUGGAUGGGGAUACCUACUGGAAACGGUAGCUAAUACCGCAUACCAUCGGAUGUGCCCCGAUGGGAUUAGCUAGUUGGUGGGGUAACGGCUCACCUAGGCGACGAUCCCUAGCUGGGCUGAGAGGAUGACCAGCCACCCUGGAACUGAGACACGGUCCAGACUCCUACGGGAGGCAGAAGGGGGGAAUAUUGCACAAUGGGCGCAAGCCUGAUGCAGCCAUGCCGCGUGUAUGAAGAAGGCCUUCGGGUUGUAAAGUACUUUCAGCGAGGAGGCGUUACUCGCAGAAGAAGCACCGGCUAACUCCGUGCCAGCAGCCGCGGUAAUAC